GCCUUCAUGGUGUAGUGGUCAGCAUACUCGACGGGUAACCGAGAGGUCCGUGGUUCAAAUCCCGGCGAAGGCG
rfam:Stegodyphus mimosarum contig69447, whole genome shotgun sequence.